rnacentral:rRNA from 1 species
ACUACGGGAGGCAGCAGUGGGGGAUAUUGCACAAUGGGGGGAACCCUGAUGCAGCGACGCCGCGUGGGUGAAGGAGCGUUUCGGCGCGUAAAGCCCUAUCGGCAGGGACGAAGGAGGACGGUACCUGACUAAGAAGCCCCGUCUAACUCCGUGCCAGCAGCCGCGGUAAAACGGAGGAUGCGAGCGUGAUCAGGAUUUAUUGGGUGUAAUGGGUGCGUAGGGGGAGCGUAAAGUCAGUGGUCAAAUCGGGGGGCCCAACCCCUGCCCGCCAUUGAAACUGGCGCUCUGGAGUGGAAGAGAAGUAUGCGGAAUGCGUGGUGUAGCGGGGAAAUGCAUAGAUAUCACGCAGAACCCCGAUUGCGAAGGCAGCAUGCCGGCUUCCGACUGACGCUGAAGCACGAAAGCGUGGGGAUCGAACAGGAUUAGAUACCCGUGUAGUC